GCCCGGUUAGCUCAGUCGGUAGAGCAUUCGGCUUUUACACGCUACUUCCCAGAUUGGGCGGAGUUCACCGAAAUGUCGGGGGUUCGAGCCCCCCAUUGGGCG
rfam:Puccinia sorghi strain RO10H11247 Scaffold_946, whole genome shotgun sequence.